rnacentral:lncRNA from 1 species
GAUUACACUUAUUUACGCUUGAAUGCUUUACGCUGAUAAGUUUAUGCUUAUGUUUGAUGUUUGCGUCUGUUGGGGGAGGCCUCCCUCAACAGUACGAUGCCGUGUCCGUUGAGGAGGGCCUUCCUCACGGCGCGAUGCCGUGUCCGUUGAGAGAGGCCUCUCUCGCGGCGCGAUGCUAGUAUGCCAGUGUUACAGCGUCUAUUGGGGGAGGCCUCCCUCAAUAGUACGAUGCCGUGACCGCUGAGGGAGGCUCCCCCUCACGGUGCGAUGCCCGUGUUCGUUGGGG